rnacentral:misc_RNA from 1 species
AUAAAGGACAUAUUCUUCUUUGCCAGAACAGGAAACAAAGUGAACAUCUCCACACUGCACAUCUCCAUCAAAUCGACUGCCUCCAUGUCUCCUAUAUACACAUAGGAGCAGUGCGUGGAUACAGAAGAGUUGAAUCCGCGUAAAAAGCAAGGAUCGGUGUCCACGUAAACAGGAGAGGACACUGGAUUUGGGCACUUGAUGA